AUUCAUUUUCCUGAUCAUCAAAGAAUCCAUCUGCUGAUGAAGGGGAUCCUUUAACACUUUGUGAAGUUAAUAAAAUGUUUUCUCCAAGAUUUCACAACCACUGCAUUGCAUCACUUGAUUUCUUGCAACUGCAGCUACAAGUUGGAUACGUGUUUCCAUUGAGCUGUAUGAAGUAAAAGAAUGCAUUAGAAGAAGGAACAGUAAGGAUGAAUGAACAGCUGAAAGUGUUUGAGCCACCGUCUUUCACUUCUUAAGAAUAUAAUUUAAAUGCUUUUCUACAGUAUGAACAAGGAUAUUUCACAUCUUUGUGUCUGAGUCAAUAUGGAUCUAAGAAUGCUGUAACCAAGGGCCAGAAAGAGUGAUGUAGUACUAAGCAUGGCAUAUAAAAUCACAAAAUCAUAGAAUAUGCUGAGUUGGAAGGGACCCAUCAGGAUAAAGACCCAUCAGGAUAAAGUCCUGACCCUGUGCAGGACACCCCAAGAAUCAUACCAUGUGCCUGAGACCACUGUCCAAAUGCUUCUUGAACUCUGUCAGGCUUAGUGCUGUAACCACAUUCCUGGGGAGCCUGUUCCAGUGCCCAGACACCCUCUGGGUAAGAAACUUUUUCCUGAUAUCCAAUGUGAAUGUCCCAUAACUCCACUUCAUGCCAUAUCCUUGACUCCUGUUGCUGGUCAUGAGAGGGAAGAGAUUGGUAUUUACCCCUCUACUUCACCUCACAAGGAUAUUGAAGACCAGCUGGGUGGCAGUUGCUCUCAGUUUCUGCCUUUCUCCUGGGCUUAUCACUAUUAUAAAAGACAGAUAAAACUAGGAAAUUCUUUUCACACAAGAAAUGAACAGAAGAAAGGAACAGCAAAUGUUAUAAAAGCAAUAAUUUGUGUGAGAAUAAAUAAGAGCACAAUAAAACCUGUGCAAGGUCUGCUAUUGCUUCCUAACAAGCACAUAUUUAAACCUUGAAAAUGCAGAGAACAGAAGGAUCUAUGUUCAUAAAUGUAGUUAUUGCUGGUACCACCAACACACAGACACUACAAUCCUGUCAUGCCAAAUGUACUUCAGUAAUUUCAGGGAAGUACUAAAGACAAACAUCUCUGCAUACAUGUUUGCAUGUAUAUUAUCUCAGAAAAUGAAGAACACUGCAUUCAAAGUAAAUGAGAGCUUUUAGCAUAAGUCUAAUAACUGGAAUCAGAUCAGGUAAGAAACCUAAGGGGUGCUGCAGUCACCUGAGAGGCUUCUUGCAUCUUUAUAAUUUGUU